AGAUUGAACGCUGGCGGCAUGCCUAACACAUGCAAGUCGAACGGGAGUAGCAAUACUCUAGUGGCGGACGGGUGAGGAAUACGUAGGAAUUUGCCCUUAAGUGGGGGAUAACCCGGGGAAACCCGGAUUAAUACCGCAUGACCUCGAAAGAGCAAAGUGGGGGAUCGCAAGACCUCACGCUUUUGGAGAAGCCUACGUCGGAUUAGCUAGUUGGUGAGGUAAUGGCUCACCAAGGCGACGAUCCGUAACUGGUCUGAGAGGAUGAUCAGUCACACCGGAACUGAGACACGGUCCGGACUCCUACGGGAGGCAGCAGGUGGGAAUAUUGGACAAGUGGGCGCAAGCCUGAUCCAGCAAUGCCGCGUGUGUGAAGAAGGCCGUUCGGUUGUAAAGCGACUUUAAGUUGGGAAAGAAAAACGACG
rnacentral:rRNA from 1 species